rnacentral:sRNA from 1 species
UGUAUAAGGAGUUGUAUAUAUUAAGGAUAUAAUU